UACGAAGGGGGCUAGCGUUGCUCGGAAUUACUGGGCGUAAAGCGCACGUAGGCGGUCUUUUAAGUCGGGGGUGAAAUCCUGGAGCUCAACUCCAGAACUGCCUUCGAUACUGGAAGACUUGAGUCCGGGAGAGGUGAGUGGAACUGCGAGUGUAGAGGUGAAAUUCGUAGAUAUUCGCAAGAACACCAGUGGCGAAGGCGGCCAACUGGUCCGAUACUGACGCUGAGGCG
rnacentral:rRNA from 1 species